rnacentral:sRNA from 1 species
ACUGGAUGUGGUGGCCCACACCUGUAAUCCCAGGGACUUGGGAGGUUGAGGCAGGAUGAUUGCAAGUUCAAGGCCAGCCUCUGUAAUGUAUUGAGACCUUGUCUCAA